rnacentral:rRNA from 1 species
UACGAAGGGGGCUAGCGUUGCUCGGAAUCACUGGGCGUAAAGCGCACGUAGGCGGAUUUUUAAGUCAGGGGUGAAAUCCUGGAGCUCAACUCCAGAACUGCCUUUGAUACUGAAGAUCUUGAGUUCGGGAGAGGUGAGUGGAACUGCGAGUGUAGAGGUGAAAUUCGUAGAUAUUCGCAAGAACACCAGUGGCGAAGGCGGCUCACUGGCCCGAUACUGACGCUGAG